AUAUCAAUAAGCGGAGGAAAAGAAACCAACAGGGAUUGCCCCAGUAACGGCGAGUGAAGCAUAUCAAUAAGCGGAGGAAAAGAAACUAACAAGGAUUCCCCUAGUAGCGGCGAGCGAAGCGGGAAGAGCUCAAAUUUAUAAUCUGGCACCUUCGGUGUCCGAGUUGUAAUCUCUAGAAAUGUUUUCCGCGUUGGACCGCACACAAGUCUGUUGGAAUACAGCGGCAUAGUGGUGAGACCCCCGUAUAUGGUGCGGACGCCCAGCGCUUUGUGAUACAUUUUCGAAGAGUCGAGUUGUUUGGGAAUGCAGCUCAAAUUGGGUGGUAAAUUCCAUCUAAAGCUAAAUAUUGGCGAGAGACCGAUAGCGAACAAGUACCGUGAGGGAAAGAUGAAAAGCACUUUGGAAAGAGAGUUAACAGUACGUGAAAUUGUUGGAAGGGAAACGCUUGAAGUCAGACUUGCUUGCCGAGCAAUCGGUUUGCAGGCCAGCAUCAGUUUUCCGGGAUGGAUAAUGGUAGAGAGAAGGUAGCAGUUUCGGCUGUGUUAUAGCUCUCUGCUGGAUACAUCUUGGGGGACUGAGGAACGCAGUGUGCCUUUGGCGGGGGUUUCGACCUCUUCACACUUAGGAUGCUGGUGGAAUGGCUUUAAACGAC
rnacentral:rRNA from 1 species